rnacentral:tRNA from 1 species
GGAGAGGUGGCCGAGCGGCUGAAGGCGACGGUUUGCUAAACCGUUAUACGGGGUAUCACUCUGUAUCGCGGGUUCGAAUCCCGCCCUCUCCG